UACGGAGGAUGCAAGCGUUAUCCGGAUUUAUUGGGUUUAAAGGGUGCGUAGGCGGCUUUUUAAGUCAGCGGUGAAAUUUUGCAGCUUAACUGUAACAGUGCCGUUGAUACUGGGGAGCUAGGAUUUGGUUGCUGUGGGUGGAAUGUGUGGUGUAGCGGUGAAAUGCUUAGAGAUCACACAGAAUAUCGAUUGCGAAGGCAUCUCACAAAGCCGUUAUUGACGCUGAGGCACGAAAGUGUGGGGAUCAAACAGGAUUAGA
rnacentral:rRNA from 1 species